GCCGGUGUAGCUCAGGGGUAGAGCAACUGAUUCGUAAUCAGUAGGUCACAGGUUCAAAUCCAGUCACCGGCUC
rnacentral:tRNA from 1 species